rnacentral:rRNA from 1 species
UACAGAGGUCUCAAGCGUUGUUCGGAUUCAUUGGGCGUAAAGGGUGCGUAGGUGGCGUGGUAAGUCGGGUGUGAAAUUUCGGAGCUUAACUCCGAAACUGCAUUCGAUACUGCUGUGCUUGAGGACUGGAGAGGAGACUGGAAUUUACGGUGUAGCAGUGAAAUGCGUAGAGAUCGUAAGGAAGACCAGUGGCGAAGGCGGGUCUCUGGACAGUUCCUGGCACUGAGGCACGAAGGCCAGGGGAGCAAACGGG